rnacentral:rRNA from 1 species
UACGUAGGGUGCGAGCGUUGUCCGGAAUUAUUGGGCGUAAAGGGCUCGUAGGCGGUUUGUCGCGUCGGGAGUGAAAACCCAGGGCUUAACCCUGGGCUGGCUUCCGAUACGGGCAGACUAGAGGUAUGCAGGGGAGAACGGAAUUCCUGGUGUAGCGGUGAAAUGCGCAGAUAUCAGGAGGAACACCGGUGGCGAAGGCGGGUCUCUGGGCCGAUACUGACGCUGAGGAGCGAAAGCGUGGGGAGCAAACAGG